UGAGUACGAGAUGCUACGGCAUCGAAGCAGUCUAUGUCAUACUUCCAAGAAAAGCUUGCAAUGUCAUAAACAAAUAAUGCCUGUACCAUAACCGACACAGGUGGGUAGGUAGAGUAUACUAAGGGGCGCGAGAUAACUCUCUCUAAGGAACUCGGCAAAAUGACUCCGUAACUUCGGGAGAAGGAGUGCCUUAUUUUUAUAAGGUUGCAAUAACAAGAUCCAAGCAACUGUUUACCAAAAACACAGGUCUCCGCUAAGUCGUAAGACGAUGUAUGGGGGCUGACGCCUGCCCAGUGCCAGAAGGUUAAAGAAGUUGGUUAGCAUUAGCGAAGCUGAUAACUGAAGCCCUGGUGAACGGCGGCCGUAACAAUAACGGUCCUAAGGUAGCGAAAUUCCUUGUCGGGUAAGUUCCGACCCGCACGAAAGGCGUAAUGAUUUGGAUACUGUCUCGGAGAGGGGCUCGGUGAAAUAGACUUGUCUGUGAAGAUGCGGACUACCUGCACCUGGACAGAAAGACCCUAUGAAGCUUUACUGUAACUUGAGAUUGAAAUUGGACUUUAUCUGCGUAGUAUAGGUGGGAGACGUUGAAAAUAUUCUUGCGGGAAUAUUGGAGUCAUCAGUGAGAUACCACUCUUAUAAUGUUAGAUUUCUAACUUUGUAUCAUUAUCUGGUCAAAGAACAGUUUCAGGCGGGCAGUUUGACUGGGGCGGUCGCCUCCCAAACGGUAACGGAGGCGCACAAAGGUUUCCUCUGAACGUGUAGAAAUCGUAUCUAGAGUGUAAAGGCAUAAGGAAGCUUGACUGUGAGACCUACAAGUCGAGCAGGGACGAAAGUCGGUCUUAGUGAUCUGACGGUGCUGAGUGGAAAGGCCGUCACUCAACGGAUAAAAGUUACUCUAGGGAUAACAGGCUGAUCUCCCCCAAGAGUUCACAUCGACGGGGAGGUUUGGCACCUCGAUGUCGGCUCAUCGCAUCCUGGGGCGGUAGUACGUCCCAAGGGUUGGGCUGUUCGCCCAUGAAAGCGGUACGCGAGCUGGGUUCGGAACGUCGUGAGACAGUUCGGUCCAUAUCCGGUGUAGGCGUUAGAAUAUUGAGAGGAGCCUUCUUUAGUACGAGAGGACCGAGAAGGACAUACCUCUGGUGUACCAGUUAUCGUGCUAACGGUAAACGCUGGGUAGCCAUGUAUGGAGAGGAUAACCGCUGAAAGCAUCUAAGUGGGAAGCCCACCUCAAGAUAAGUAUUCUCAUC
rnacentral:rRNA from 1 species